rnacentral:snoRNA from 1 species
UCCCGCCUAUUUGCCUCCCGAGCGCCGUUUUGUGCCUGGUGCCUCGGGACUUCCUACAUCGGCGGCAAAUAAAUCAGACUUGUUCAGCCCAAUUUUGCUGCAUCUGUUCAUGCUGCAGCAAAAGGUUG